CUCCACCAACAGUCAGCCUGGCAGUGGCCCUCUGGGUAGAGAGUGUAAUAAGAUGCAAUCAGUCACAGCCUUCUCCCCGGGGGCCCUCCAGCCCGGCGGGUGAGCUGGGGUUCUGGGGACAGGCUGGGGCAGUGUCCCUUAGCGCUCCAGAGCCCUUGAAGGAGCAGCGGACCUCUCCCCCAUCCCCACUUCUGCGUCCUCAUGACAGUGGCGGCCUCCAUGGGUUGUGGUCCUCGGCAGCUGGAACAUAAGGACACUGCCAUUAAGUUUAUAAACAGCUUCUUCAUGCUCUUCUAAUAGAGGAAUCCAUUCUCUUUGCUUUACAAGGUGCUGACUCAUUUCAGAUUAAUCAUCCAUGGGUAUAAAUCAGCAGAUGAUAAAUGCAGAGCAGGAGACAGCAAUAAAACACGAUCAAAUGGAGCUUCUGCAGCAGACACUGCUGGCUGCCCUACCAAUGACCAGCUCCCUCAUCCUUCUGUGUCAAAGAAGAGCCCACCUCUCCUGACAGCCAGAAAGUGCUGGAUCCUUGCUUUUGAGCUUUCCUGGCAGCGAGGGGUGUUCGUGGAAAUCAAUCUGGGCUAAUGACAUGUAAAGGAAAGUUUGCUGUGUUUGGAGGAGACUUCCAGAAAAUACUCCUCCCUGCUCCAUGACAGAAAUGCUGUUGUUUAGUCAUUAAGCUGUGUCUAAUUCUUUUGUGACCCCAUGGACUGUAGCCCACCAGGCUCCUCUGUCCAUGGGAUUUCCCAGGCAAGAAUACUAGAGUGGGUAGCCAUUUCCUCCUCCAGGGGAUCCUUUUGACCCAGGGAUCAAGCCCAUGUCUCCUGCAGUGGCAGGCAGAUUCUUCACCACUGAGCAGAUCAGGGAAGCCCCAUGAUAAAAAUAGAUUUUAUUUUAAAAAGCAGCAUGCCUCCCUUUUCCUUUUGGAUUGCCACCUUAGGGCUGUGCGUGGUGACGCAGUUUAUGCACAAAGCUCAUCAGCUCUGAGAGAAGGGAACAGGUGGGUGCUUGACGGCACUGACGAGGUGCUGCGUCAGUACUGGAACCACCGGCUGCUGGACACAUUGUUAUUGAAAACAAGACCUCACCUUGAAGCCACGCUUAGUGAAACCAUCUGCUGUUUUUAGCUGAAAGCAUUCUAACUGGUACGAUUAUUUAAUAGGUUACCUGUUGCUUUGGUCGCUCAUGAGACUGUUCUUUAAGUAGAACUCCUACAGAGCCUUUGUUAAUGUUGAGGAUUGCUGGUGAGUCUGCACUGUUACCUCUGGGAACCUCAUGAGAAAAACCAAUGUUCUUGUUUUCCAGAGAG
ensembl:lncRNA